ACCAAGAAAAUCAUGAUGGGUUUACUUCAUUGAGGUUCAAAUAUCUUGAAAAUCAUAGGUCGUAUACUCAUACUUGUAAGUUCCACCCAAUAUUUGGAAUUAUAUUUCUGAACUGGAAACAUCUCCAUUCAAUUAGUCUUGGUUGAAAUUUCUUGUUUUCUCAUGUUUCGUGGAUUUGGGGGAGGGUUGGAUGUUUGUAAAUAGCCUAUUGGGUUGAUCCUAUAGACUCCAGUAGGAUAAGAUGCUCAUACAGGAAUCAUUUCUACAAUGAAAUUCAAAAGAAGGGGAAGUAGAAGAGAGAGGAAAAAGGAAAAGGAUACAAAGGCAAACAGUAGAAAUGAAGAUAUUCUUCAUAUACAUUCAGCGUUAGGGGGGUUACGUAAUGAAUUUUAUUUGCUUUGGGACCUCAAAGUAGCAAUCCUUAUCUUAAUAAGAUCUAAUGGCUUCGAAAACCCAACCAAAGGUGAAGUUACACCACCAAGUAAGCAGAUUCCUUUAGUUGGAAAAUGAGGUGUCCUUUGAUGUUUCUUCAAGUCUAACGCCUUUAAAUUGUCCAGUCAUAUAGUACCAGGGAUGAUACUUUUGAUAUUUACAUUGUCAAGCACAAUUAAAGGACAGGAAGUUAACCUGAAAAUGCAUGGGAUUUUAUCCCAAUUACAGGAGCAAACGAUUGAUGAAGACCUGUUGCUUAAAAUGCUUGAAGACAACUUGAAUCUAAUCUGGUAUCACUGUUUGCCUGAUUCUUCAAGCUGACAUGUGGUCUUUCACUUUCUCUUCGCAAAAUAUCUGCAGAAAUGUUCAACUCACAAGCUAUGAUUGGUUGGCGAAUAAAGUUACGAUGGUGGAAUGUAUAUAAAUGUAGAUAAUUGAAUUGUUAAACUCAAAAUGUUGAAUGCUGUUUGCAUUAUAUAGUUUUGUGUAUGGAAUGAAAUGAACCAAGGCCUCUGAUGUUAGCGGUGUCAGUAAGGAACACUAGUUAAGAUUGUAAAUAGUUCUGUUGUUUAAUGGAUCAAACUUCUUAGUUGAACGUAUUGAGAGGUUUGGGAAAUGUAAAUUGCAUAUUGAUGCAUAGAGUAAAAA